AGCGAACGCUGGCGGCGUGCUUAACACAUGCAAGUCGAACGUGAAAUGUAGCAAUACAGAGUAAAGUGGCGUACGGGUGAGUAACACGUGGGUAAUCUACCAAAGGGCCUGGAAUAACCGACCGAAAGGUUGGCUAAUACUGGAUAGUUCAAAUGAAAUAUAAUGUUUCGAUUGGGAAAGGGAGCGAGCAAUCGCCUUCACUUUUCGAUGAGCCCGCGUCUGAUUAGCUAGUUGGUAGGGUAAUGGCCUACCAAGGCGACGAUCAGUAGCUGGUCUGAGAGGAUGAUCAGCCACACUGGAACUGAAACACGGUCCAGACUCCUACGGGAGGCAGCAGUGGGGAAUCUUGCGCAAUGGACGAAAGUCUGACGCAGCCACGCCGCGUGAGUGAAGAAGGCCUUCGGGUUGUAAAGCUCUGUCGGAAGGGACAAAAACGUUUAAGGUUAAUAGCCUUAGAUCUUGAUGGUACCUUCAAAGGAAGCACCGGCUAACUUCGUGCCAGCAGCCGCCGUAA
rnacentral:rRNA from 1 species